AAAAAAACAAAAUAAGAGUUUUAAUACCCAGUUAAAGGGCAAAAUCCCUAAAACUAACAGAGUGACUUCCUAAAAAAACCAAAAUUUCCUUCAAUACUCCCGCAAAACUAAAGUGGAACAACCUUCCGACGCAGAUCUGCACCGCCGCUCCAUUGCACCGCCUUCCGAUCGCUUCCUAGCCUUCGUUGAACGCCGUCUGUACCACCGUUGCCUUCAAUUCCGAUAUCGGUUGUGAUGUUUAUCAGAUGAUCUGCAGUUGGGUUUUUUGUCCUGCAGAUAUGUUGGUGUUGUCAUGUUGUCUGCCUUAUAUGUUGCAGUCUAGUUAAAUUAGGAGGGGGCGUGCACCAAAUUAGCCGUAGCUGAGUUCUUACCAUUACGGUUUCCAUGAGGAUGGUUUGAAGAUCUUUCUUUCAAACCUAUAUUAUCCUUCCAUGUCAAUGGAAGAUAAAAAGAGGUUUUGUUCUUUCGCACUUGAUUGUGUCACCAGGCCUACGUGUUUUUGUAAUUAGCUGGACCUCUAUACUGAAGUGUUCUUGUUUGCCUUUUUUCUUUUGCAUAUAUGUAAUCAAUAAUGCGUGCAGCAGACCAAAUAGAAGGGCACUGCUUCCCAUUGAGCCUUUCUGAUGGCCCUAGCUAUGAAAUUCAACCCUAGAGAAUAUGAUUUGUCGCAAUUUUCAUCCUCUGGAAUGCCUUGAACUACAAUAUCAGUAAAAGUUUCUUCUUCCAUUUCGUACAUCACCAACUUUUUUUCAUCGGUAUCCUUCUCAUCCAUCACUUUUUUGUUACAUUCAUCGGGUUUUGUAUGAUUGAUUUCGUUACUUUCAUCGAAUUUCUAUUUUCCCUACUACGAUGUUCAUGAGUUGUAGAUUGAGAAGCCUUAUGAGAAUUAGCACAAUCUGCUAUAAUUUUUUUUUGUCGGUAUAAGAAAUCAAUGAAUGGGUUUUAUGUGGGACUAUGUUGAAUUGGGGAAGGGGUGUGAGAUUAAUUUACUUUAAGGAAUACACCUUACACACAUUCUUUUCCUUUAGAAGAUCAGGCGAUCAAACCAUAGUUUUAGAGCUUAUUCUAGCUAUUGGGUACAAGAAAGUCUCUUUUCAAACUUGUGUUUGGUUAGUAAACAGAGAAAACCCAAUCUUAGACAAGCAAUCUAGUGAGCUUAAACUUUAAAAUUGUAAUUUGGUCCGUUUUCCAUUGAAUCUGUCGAGGCAGGUUAAGUGCUGAUCCCAUAUUCACGGUACUGUUUGUUUCCUCAAAAUCUGUUUAUAAGUUCAUUUAGAAUUAUGCAUACUGUUCGUGCUAGAGCUUUUGGACCUGGUAAAAGUUACAACCUUGUUGCACCUUCUAUUAGCAAAAACAAAAGAGAUUACAAGUGUCACGAUCUGUCUCUACAAUCAGUGAAGAGCAAGGAGUCACGAUCUGUCUAUACAAUUAUACAUGCUCAGUCAGUGACGUAGAUCUCCUUACUUCCUGAUCUUGUUAGAAGCUAAGUUAUGAGAUUUUUUGUGUAAUCUUAUUAUCUAAUAUAGUAUUGUAGAUGACUUCAAGCUGUGUAUUACUAAAGCUAGGGAGGAUUUCUGGUAUGCUGUUGCCAGCAAAUCUGCAGUGAAGCUUUGUUUUGCUUCUAAAACCUUGAGUUUCCAAAAACUUUCUGGCCUGCAGACAUUAGCACAUCCCCAACAGAAUCCCUCACAACCAUCCCAUAUCCCGUAGCAUUUGUAGCUGUUGCAGCGUCAGUAUUGAGUUUAAAUAAACCAGUAGUUGGGGCUGUCCAUGUAUGAGCUUCACUGUGGGAAGGUGCAGCACAUCAGUCUCGCUCUUUUGCAGCUUCAAACUCGCCCAGGAGGUUCAUCAGCCUAUUACAAGCCAACACCAAAUCAACUCUCUUCCUAUCAAACACCCACACACACCCACAAACACCAAAAUGUUGGCUUAAUUAAGAGUUCAUGGAACUGUGAGGUCCUAAUUAAACCUUGACAUCAAAAAAAUUUAGCUUAAAUUUAGGUGACCAUUAUAUCUUUUAGAGCAUGGUUAUGCAUUACUAGUAGCUUUUCUUUUCUAAAUACUUAGCGCCUUAAGCUAGAGCCUUUUCAUUAGAUGAAAAGGCUUCUGGUCCUUUCUGUAUUUAUAUGUUUUGUUAUGUUUUUUUUACUAUUCUUUAACCAGUUGUAUACUAACUCUUCUUGGAAUUCUAUGAAAAUGAAUCAGUACAAUAAAUUUGUAUCUUUUUUUCUUCUCAA